rnacentral:misc_RNA from 1 species
GAUGCAAGCAGCCUAAGAAGGAAAAGAAAAACAUUGAGAAGAAGAAAAUUGGUUUAUGCCAGGGCAAAAGCCAUGUUAUUCAAAGCAAUCCUUUUGUUGUACGUCUUGGUUUGCUUAGCAGCUUCCCAAGAUCUCAGUUUCCGCUACAAUGGCUUUCGAUCUGCUAAUCUAAGCCUUGAUGGUAUAGCUGAGAUCACCUCUAGCGGCCUUCUGAGGCUUACCAAUGACACCAGGCAGCAAAAGGGUCACGCCUUUUUUCCACACCCAGUAACUUUCAAGAACUCGAAUGGCUCUGUUUUCACCUUUUCUACUACUUUUGUCUUUGCUAUUGUACCUCUAAUUGCAGGUGUUACUGGUCAAGGGAUUGCCUUUGCGAUUGCGCCAACAAAAGGCCUCCCUGGAUCUUUUCCCAGCCAGUACCUGGGGCUGUUUAAUGAGACCAACAACGGUAAUGAUACCAACCAUGUUGUUGCAGUGGAGCUUGACACCGUCUAUAGCUAUGACAGCAAAUUCGGUGAUAUCAAUGAUAACCACGUUGGAAUAGAUAUUAAUGGGUUAAGGUCUUAUGAAUCUGCCCCAGCAGGAUAUUAUACUAAUUCCAGCGGUAGGCUCACAAACUUGACC